UGUCAAGCUGAUGUUUAGAGUAAGG
rnacentral:piRNA from 1 species